CGGCGGAGAACUCUCACAGGCCAUUAGAAGGCCCUUUCUAUCAGGGUGUAUAUAGGCGAACGGAUCCUCCAACGUAGGGUUUCUUUAGUUUGCUUCGACUCCAAGGUUUCGCUGCGGCCGCCCGGAGCUCUUAUCAGCAGCGGAAAUGCCAUCACACAAGACGUUCCGGAUCAAGAAGAAGCUGGCGAAGAAGAUGAGGCAGAACAGGCCAAUUCCUCACUGGAUCCGCCUGCGGACGGACAACACCAUCAGGUACAACGCGAAGCGCAGGCAUUGGCGUCGAACCAAGUUAGGGUUUUGAGGUUGCGCCUGAUUCACCCGUUUGUCCUUCUUGAUUGUUUUGGUCAGCUUUCACAUGAAUCAUGCCUUAUUUUAACGGAUUUUCAUGUUAUUAUGUGUGUCUGAGUCUAGUGGAGAUUGUUUUUAAAGUGAAAUUUAUAUCACACCUGAGAUUUACUGUGAUGCAUAAAUACUUUAAAAUUGGCUUCUUCGUGAUUUGAAGUAGCAUUUGAAUGGUGUUCUUUGUC